rnacentral:rRNA from 1 species
CAGCAGCCGCGGGAAUACGGAGGGUGCAAGCGUUAAUCGGAAUUACUGGGCGUAAAGCGUGCGUAGGCGGUUCGUUAAGUCUGUUGUGAAAUCCCCGGGCUCAACCUGGGACCUGCAUUUGUGACUGUAUAGCUAGAGUACGGUAGAGGGGGAUAGAAUUCCACGUGUAGCAGUGAAAUGCGUAGAUAUGUGGAGGAAUACCGAUGGCGAAGGCAGCCCCCUGGGAUAACACUGACGCUCAUGCACGAAAGCGUGGGGAGCAAACAGGAUUAGAUACCCCUGUAGUCCCUGUCUCUUAUAC